rnacentral:tRNA from 1 species
GCCGCUUUAGCUCAGUUGGUAGAGCACCUGAUUUGUAAUCAGGAUGUCGUCGGUUCGAUCCCGGCAAGCGGCUCCA